UAUACAUUGGUAGAUAGAACAAAUUCUUAAAAAUUUUUUAGAUUUUAUUCUAGAAAGAAACGUGUAUAAUUGAAAAACUGAAGAGCAAUAUUUGUUUUGGAUGAUUCAAUUCUAACCAAUGAAUUUUUUGUUUUAGUGCACUUGGAGUACAACUUUGCUUGCAAGAAUUCUGUAAUAAUAUUUAAUAAUUUCAAUUUGAAUCAGAAGUUCUUCAAACGCUUCAAUUUCCAUAAUGCAGUAGCUCUCAAUUAUAGAAGCUAACACAAUUGCUAAUUUCAUGGAGGACCAUACUAUUUCACAUCAAAGCCACAUCAAAUCACUCUUGAUGACGCCAUCAGCGAGGGAAUGAAAGAGCUUCCUACUUUUAAAAUAGAUAAGAAAAUUUCUACUCUACGGGACGUUUACAGCUGGAAUUAAGAACGGACGGAGUGCAUCUGAAUCUCAUUUCCGGGACUAGGAGACUGAAUAGACACGAUACUGCUGAAGGCGACGCCACACUUCCUACAACUGACGACGAUUCUGCCGUUGCAUUCGUGGAACGAUACCAAUGGGUUUCACGGAAUUUCGUAGCGACAAUGAAAAAGGACAAAAAAAUAGAAGAAAGAAACAUGGAAGUGCAUAGAGAAUUAUAUACAACGUAAUUAUAGUCUCGCGUAAAAUCAAAUCGCGUCGAAGGGUAACAGGAAGUUGCGAUGUGGCCUCCUCGUGGCGAAACAAGCACGGAUCGAUGCGCAACGACAAAAGUAACAUUUCUUCUCCGGUGCAGCCACCUGUCCUAAUAUAUUUUUCUCUUCCAACAAUCUAGAACGAUAAUCUUUUUCAUUAUCUCUUAACAACAAUUGUCUUUAAAAAUUGUAUAACAUCAUUAACAAUUUUCAACAAGAAAACGCUGCAUAAUUCCGGAAGUUGGUACCAAUCAAAGGAAGGAGUAGUGCGAAAUCAGAUGUCAGAGGAAACAUUUUUGACACUAGAACUAUCAGACAGUUCAAAUUGACUUGUUUUAACAUUUUUAUUUUGUAUUCAAAUUAUGAAGACACUUUCGUGCAAGGUAGUAAAAUAAAUUUAUCUAUUUGCACAGAUACAGUAAUAAAAGAUGAUUCAAAUCUCGAGUUCACUGUAAUUGCUCGGUAGUUCUAGUGUUAAAAAAUCCAAAGAACAAUUUUGUUAUUCAUUGAUUCUUCCUGUUCGCCACAGGAGUCAUAUCCUGAUGCAGGGAAUUUAAGGUUUCGGUGCAUCAGCUUUGGGCUUCUUCUCCAGCUCCAGGAUAUUCGUAGGCGGCGGGACAGUUAAGAUCUCUGGGUACUCGAGUUUAGCUCCUUCCUCGCAUUCGAAGACUGGACAGCAGUCAGGGAAGGGAGCGGUCUUGUUCGUCUUCUCGGAUAGCUUGCACUUAGGGUUCGCUUUCGGCAACGGUCCGCAAUCUUCUACGAGCUCGAAGAGGCGGCCAGAGUUGUCGUCAGCUGGCACGCAGGUCGAACGACCGCAGAAUGGUGUCAGAUCCCAUGAUUUGGUUGGCUCAACGGUGGCGCAUUUUGUCGAGGCGAAGCACAUACCCGGGAAAUCUGCAACAAACGUUUACGUUCAUGAUUUCGCGAAAUUGUGAUACGCUAAGCGAAUUCACUGAUCAGUAGACUGGGGGUCUUUAUGGAAAUUCAAAUGUUUAAAAAUAUAAUUUGCAACCGCAGAAGAUUGUUGUUUCUAAUAAAUACUCUAAGAAGCAUUACAUUUUGGAUGAGGUAGAUCGAAUCGAAUUAUUUCGUGUUCAAUAAUAAAGAAAUAAAAAUACUUGAACAUUUCCUAUAUUUUUCAUUUCUAAUUAUUUUCCAUAUUUUCUCAUAUUGCGUUUGUUCUGUGCAACUUUGCAAUUCCUUUCCUAGAAAUGUAUAAAAAUCCACAGUCCACUGAUUAGUAAAUUUAUAAAUAACGACAUAUCAGGAUAGUAAACCUGGAGAGAUAGAGGUUUGAUAACGUUAAGAUAAGAAUUUGAGAAUUUCUUUGUAAACAGUUCUUCGUAACGAUUACAUAAUCGACGCGUUAUUCUUACCCUAUCGUAACACGGUUGCGGAUUCGUUGCCGAUGGCUCGUUGAUGGAUCACGGAAUGCGAAUUCCGGAAUUACAUAAAUUACAUUGCAUAAAGAUAGUAUUCAAUUGAUACGUUCCGUUAACCGGAACGUUAGAUUUUAUGCGAGAAAGCGUAGCUACCAUUAGAGACCAAAUUUGAUUAACCUUCUUACGGCUGAUGCUUUCGACGAUUUCACGAGUAGUAAUGUUUUGGACUAUUCAAAUUUUUAUUUAUCAAUUUUUUUUACAUAUUUCUUUCGAAUGAGUUUCCACGAGCUACGAAAUGCGUGAUAUUAUUAUAUAGUCUAAUAUAAUUAACUGAGAACGCAAGGUAGGCAUAAUAGUCGAGAAUUUAAAUGUAAUCUUUAAAAAUCUGUGUCAAAAUAGUUCAAAAUUACACAGUUAUUACAUUACAUAAUUAAUUAUUACAUAAUUAAUAGUUCAACAAAAUUUACACAGGUAAGAGAUUGCAUAAUUAAUAGUUCAACAUAAUUUACACAGACGUUGUCUUCAUAAAAAUAAAAAAAUAAGUUCCACCAUCUCGGCUCAAGCACUCUACAUUAAAACGAAUGGAUUUCACUAAAAACGCUUGGCAUUCCGAACGAAUCCGCCCGUCGGAUUUUCACUGAGCCCGAUGUAAAAGUAAGAUCCUCAUUGCACAUGUGCAACGGUCCGAGCAGAUUGUAAUUCUUUGGUAAUGUCGUCACCAGUGUACGAUGCACGGGCCCACACGGGCAUUAUUCGCGCGGCUACAGCCCCGGGCUACAUGUGAAAGGUGUCGUUACUUUCUAAUGCACACGUGCGCCCGAACCGAACCGUUUCAACGAGCUUCUCGUUGUACCAUCUGAUGUUCAACGUUAAAACUACCGAAUUCGAAUUCGAAAGAAGUCAAAUUAAAUUUUUGAAAUUUGUAUACAGGAUAAGUUGUUUAACAGUGCCAUCUGAAUUUACUUGUAAACCAUUUGUCAUAUACAAAAAAUUAUUGAGUAUCAAUCAGACCAACUGUAUUUUCAUCAACAAUAAUUUCUACUCUGAAUACCAAACAAUUUCUGCUUCGAACAUUUUUUUACUCAACAAAUAAAUUUUGGUAACACGAUUGAACGAGUUACUCUGUAUAGGGACUUCAAACUGCGUUACAUGAAGAUAAAAUAUUUUUGGUUUAUUUUUGUAGGUCUUAAAUACUGUGUCUGCUGUAAUUAACGGAUGAGGUUUCGCCUACUGGAAGCUUCAAGGAGAAACACUUUCACUGUCACUAUAGGCUGGCUGUUGUGCGAUUAUCGUGGGCCCUACGUGAAUCGUUACACGCUGAUGGCAUUUAAUUCUCAGUUCUUUAAAUGAAUUGGGAAAAUUAAAAAACGAUAUUUUUUAAUUUUUAAUAUUUUGAAAAAUAAAAUAGCUUGUUAAUAAUGACUAGCGGUUAGCCUGAUAGUAGUAUUAAGAGAAGGAAGAAGCGAGAAAUUGGAAUUAAGGCGAGAAUCACGUGUUCACAGCCUUCGGCGGACGUGAUUUAUUUAAAUAAUGACGUGUCUGUUACUGUUUUCUCAAUGCCGCACUGUUACAUCGAAGGUUUCACGUGACUGGCAAUCACACCAACACCGAAGCCAUCGAUUCUCACGGGACUUCUGGGAUCACAGGAAAAUGGAUCUUAUAUCGCAUAAUCUACCAUCCAACCGUGUCGAGGAGUUCUCGAAGUCUCUUAGCAAUUUAUCUCUUUAAUUAUGAGGAAGUAGAGAUAUUUAUUAAUCAGUUAAAUCGAUGCAGGUGUCCCUCAAACUGAUUCCCACGUGUUUUCAGAUUUGUUACACGAAAGAGGAAUCGUGGCAAAGGGUAUGAGUCACAUUAGUGAAGUAUGUAUCUCCACUGU